CGGGUACCAUUGCUAGAUGGUCACUUCGAUUAGUACAAAAAUUGGUUCCUGUGCUACCGGCUUAGGUUCGAACCUAUGGGGUCACACACAUUAGAGGUUCCUAUCUGAUCUGAUGGCUGAUGAAGAGUCCUAAUGCACGUGGACUAUGAGUCCUACAUGUCUGAGACUCUGUGAUCGAGAAUCAAGAUUCUCUGAUCAUGAGUCCCACACAU
rnacentral:lncRNA from 1 species